rnacentral:lncRNA from 1 species
AAAAUAAAUAAAAAGCAAAUAAUAAAUAUAUUUACUACUAAUAAUAAAAAACAGGUUAAACUAAUUCUGAAUAGGUCGAUUUGAAAAUUUUAAACCUCCUUAUAAAGAAUAAAUAUUGAUGACAUCAUUGUGUAUUUCAGCCCCAACUCACUAGUCGGCGCUGUCCAUUCGUGACACGCAUUCGCCUAUGGGAAAACAGAAAAUUGCUACAUCUCUAACCUCAUAAGGUCUCUGGUUUUCACACACAGCAUGGAAUCGAAUCCGAGUCAACAAGUGACCUAAUUCAAGCCCUAAUGGUAGUCUAACUUAGCACACUUACUAAUACAUCUAUUAUUCUAUCUGGUUUUACGCCAUUUUUUUGUUCUUUUUAAUUUUUACGCUCUUUUCCAAUCAGAGAGAUUAUCUAGCGGCGGAGUGUUCCGACCACGGGUUACAUCCACACUGAUGGAGAGGGCCGGAUAGUGAAGGACGGGAAUGGCCUGGCGGGGUCCAAAAUCCCGAAAAACCUUUUCAGAAGAUGCUAGAUCCGAGACGCGAAUUCGAGUCAUCCCGCAUGGCACGACAACGCGAUACCACUCGGCUAUCCGGUCGUCCCAUUUUCCUAGUUUGAUCACAUUUAUUAGUAAUCGUCACAGAACGACGAGUGAUACGAUAAAUCAAAUCUGACCGAUUGGUUUUUGUCGUGCCAGUCGCUUUGACUAUAUUAUUUUGAGAAAUCACACUAAAAAAGACAGUAAUUUUAUAAAUAUUCUUAAAUUAAAUAGUGUCAUAUUAAAUCAGACUCGAAAUCAAACACCAUUUGAAACUCACUCCGCUACGACCAAUAGUUAGACAGCUCAUUUCUGGUAAAGAUAAGCGAAAACGUUUCAGAUGCACUUAAGACUGAAUUAAAGUAUAAAAUGCACUCGGCGCAUGGCAUUGGCGAAUCAGCCAACAGUCAGAUGGCUUGGGUGGCUUUUGGCCCAGAGUUUAAUUCCCAUUCCUUGGAAAAUUUAUUCAGGGCCCCUCCUUUAUAAUCGGCUGAACACUCCGUCGAGGUUUUAUCUGUGGCCAGGCCUGAAUGACUCUCACUUAGAUAUCAACAGACUGGGACAUGAAUGUAAUUUGUUUACAAAAAAUGCGAAAAACCCAGUUUGCAUAAAUAUUGGCGUUGCUCGAAGAACCGAUUCAUCUAAGCCCAUCUUAGAUAGGCUGAUAUACUAGUUCUACUAUAAUCUUUUAUAAAAAUAUGUAGAAGAUUUUGUUUUGACAGCGGGAAAAUCGCGUAAAUCGAUCCGACAAUCGAAAGUCGAACAUUCAACUUGUAAAAUACGCGAUCUCUACAUUUUAAGACGGGUUAUCUUCAAUAUUUUAACAUAUUGCAAUAAAAAUAACCUUUACUCGACCAGAAAAUUAAAAAAAAUUAUAGUUAACAACAAGAUAAUUUCGCUGGG